rnacentral:rRNA from 1 species
UACGAAGGGGGCUAGCGUUGCUCGGAAUCACUGGGCGUAAAGCGCACGUAGGCGGAUCUUUAAGUCAGGGGUGAAAGCCCGGAGCUCAACUCCGGAACUGCCUUUAAGACUGCAUCGCUAGAAUUGUGGAGAGGUGAGUGGAAUUCCGAGUGUAGAGGUGAAAUUCGUAGAUAUUGGGAAGAACACCGGUGGCGAAGGCGGCGAGCUGGCCUGUGACUGACGCUGAGGCGCGACAGCGUGGGGAGCAAACAGG